rnacentral:misc_RNA from 1 species
GAAGUCGUUACUCCAACCCUUGUGGAGGAGGACGCCGAAGGUGGGGCUAAUGACUGGGGUGAAGUCGUAACAAGGUAGCCGUACCGGAAGGUGCGGCUGGAUCACCUCCUAACAGGGAGACAGCAAAAUGUAAAUAUUAAUUUUGUCACCUUAGGUCGAUCGGUAUCUCAGAUUCUUAAUUUUUUAGGAAUUUCAGUUUCUAAGUUUUUUCUAGGUCACACCCAUCACUUUUUCCUGGGCCAUUAGCUCAGGUGGUUAGAGCGCACCCCUGAUAAGGGUGAGGUCCCUGGUUCAAGUCCAGGAUGGCCCAUAUCUCUAUGUUGGGGGUAUAGCUCAGUUGGUAGAGCGCCUGCUUUGCAAGCAGGAUGUCAGCGGUUCGAGUCCGCUUACCUCCACUGAAUACCACCUCUUACAUAUAUUUAAAGAGGGAAAUUGUUAUGAGUCGUGUCCUAAUUUACUCUGAGCGAAUCUAGCCUCCUAUUUUAUUCAAUAAAUAAGAUGCUGGACUCAUUGAAUUUUUUUCAUUGUUUUCAGAGAACCUUGACAACUGCAUAGAUUAUUUUUGAAGACAAUAAGCAUCUUUAAUGAUGCAGAUUUAUUAUUUGUGCGAAUGCAUUAAAUAACAAUUCUAUUAAGCUGAUGCUUCAAUUAUUGAAGUUAUUGGUCAAGCUACAAAGGGCUCACGGAGGAUACCUAGGCACACAGAGGCGAUGAA